ACGCUCAAGCUCAACCGACUGAGCCCCCCAGGUGCCCUUGGGGGCACAGAUUUUCCACGCGACCACGGCCUCCUCCGAGGGGCUGUCCACAGGCAGCCCCAGGGGUCUCACAGCGUCGCUCAUUCCUUGCUUGGCAGCCGGUCCCGGAGCCCCUUGGUGCCAGGGCACGUUGGGGACAUCAUCAGUGACUUGCCGCGAUCCCGCCCCGCCGAGCUGCCAGUCUGAUGGCGGAGCCGGACAGUGAGAAUGCGGUGUGGGACGUGACUUAGCAGAAAUGCACGGAAGGGGACAUGCCCAGCUGGGGGGUCACGGAAGCCUCCCAGGAGGAGGGGGCAUCUGGGAAAACCCCGAGUAGGGAGGAGACAUCAACCGGGGGAAGGGUAGGGGGAGGCAAGGAGGGGAAAGCCUCUGGGAGGAAGGGGGUACGUGCAAAAACCGGAGGCAAGAGGGAAGGUGUCGUGUUGGAGGCACUGAGGCCAUCGGGGCAGCGGGAGAGGACAGAGUGCCCGGUGCAGGGUGGGCACACGCGCAGGGCAGGGGACACAGAGGCUCGGAGGGAGGCCGGGGCCCUGCUGGGCUGCAAAACCAAGCUGAGCAGCUCUGAUGUUUCCCAAGGAUGGUGAGGAGGCUUUCCGGGCUUGGUCUGCUUCUGGAACCAGCUUCUGGCUGCCUCUGGGGUCACGGUGGGGGGGGGGGAAGGGGCACCUGGGCAGGGGCCCUGGGAGGGGGGGCGAGCUUCCUCCUCCUGCCAAGGCUCUGCCAGAGCUGUGGGGCUGCCCCGGGGGCGGCGGGGGGUAGGGACACCUCCAGGCCCGGUGGGCAGGGGCAGCAAGACCAUCGCUGGAGGGAAAGCUGAGUACCAGCUUGGGAAGAGCGGAAGCAGGGACAGAGGUGACAGGCUGUGGUGCUGGGUUCUGGUCCAGACGUUGGCUCCCAGUGCAUUUGCGGGUCUCAUCGGUCACCCGUGGCCAUUUGUUACCUGGAGAGACUCUUCUGCUGGGCCCCUCUGUGUGUGGCCGUGAAUAAUGGAGAGCGGCAGUCGAGCGGCGAAGGCCACUUCCCUGGAAUCUUCUCGGGCAGUUGCCAAGGGUGUGGGGGCACUCAGCCUGCCCCAGACGGAUGGGCCAAGAGCUCGGCCUUCGGAGCCCUGCAAGGAGAGAGGCCCGGACAGUGUGGCCUCCCUGGAAGGGGGCGGAUGCCCUCUGAGCCCCGCUCCGGCCGGGGAGCCCUCCGACCCUCACUGGCCAGGCACUCCCUGGAUGGGAGGGGCAGGUCCUUCCCUCUGUGAGGUCCUGCACCUGCAACCUUGAGACUCAGGUACCUGGAAACACACUGGAGUGCACCCGGCAGAGGAGGGGGAAAUGGCUCACCUGCCCUCCUCUCCCGUCUCCCGCAUACCGCUCAUUCGUUCCUUCGCCUCCCACAUGUUUCUCGUGUGCAUUCAGCCCGUCUGGCACUGGGCCAGCUCCGGAGAGACACCGACCCCACUCCUCACCCGCUGUCUUUCCACCUUGCCCAAGGAGGAGGCGGCUGUGGCCAGAACGUCUCGCACACAUCUCUCCCUCCGCCAAACGCGUGUCCCACUCGUGUCACCCUCGCUUUGUGUUUGAAAUCCCACUGGGUCUUCAAGUCUCUGCAUCAGCGCCCCAGUGAUUUCUCUUUAAACGUCACAGGGAGCCACGGGACGUUUUCACUCCGAACCAUUUUGUACGAGAGCCCCAACCACAGGCUGUGUUCGGUUCGAAUUCCCAAGGUCACCAAAGGAAGUGCAGCUGAUUACAGACAGUCCCCAACUCGACGUUGUGGAAGGGAUACGUGUGCUUCGAAGCUUGAAUGUGGAUCUUCUCCUGGGUCCGCGAUCGUCUCUCGGGGUGCUGGGCAGCGGCCGGGGCCCCAGCUCCCGGUCAGCCAGCAGUCGCCAGGGUCAACAGCCGGUGCUCGGACCCCUGUCUCUACCCACACAGACACUCUGUUGGCCACUUUCAUUACAGGAUUCAACACGUCACAUGAGACACUCGAUGCUUUGUUGUAAAAUGGACUUUACGUUCGACGAUUUUGCCCGACCGUAGGCCGAUGUCAUUGUUCAGGGCCGGUAGGCUGAGCUGUGAUGUUCGGAAUCCCAAGAGGCACCCCAUUGCGGGACACAUUUGUGUUCCUCCCUCAGGAGGAACCUGCCCGCGUUAUACCCGGAGGAUACGGAGGGCCUGGAUUAUGCGGGCGUAGAAGCAAGAACGGAGGCUUUGGAGCCAAGAAGCCUGUGCGAGUUUGGCCGGCGCUUGCUUUUCUGGACCACCUCUGCUUCAUGGGAAGGGAGGCAGGUGGCACAGGGGUUAAGAACAUGGGCUCUGGGCUCCGGCUGCCCCUCUCCAGCUGUGUGUCCUUGGAAAAACUCUUUGAGCCUCCUUUUCUUCGUCUGUAAAAUGGGGACACUCGCAGUCAUCACUCCCUCACAAGGUCGUUUGACGAAUUAAUAUGUGGAGGCUGAUCUAAGACGAGUGAUAACGCGUGAAGCGUCUGGUGUGAGGGGAAGGCGCAAAGGGCACCAGCGGUUUUCUCACUGAAGCGGCUCAUUUGCGAGGGGAGCAGUCAGCACCAUGGGCGCAAGCUGCGGAUGAGGACUGUUACGGUCAGAGCCACGAGGGGCCAGGGUCCCAUCUCACAGAUGGCAAAACCGAGACCGGAAGGCUCUGGGGCCGCCUUCUUAGUCACCCAGGCAGCCGGACUG